ACCUCCCACCCGUGUCUAUCGUACCUUGUUGCUUCGGCGGGCCCGCCGUUUCGACGGCCGCCGGGGAGGCCUUGCGCCCCCGGGCCCGCGCCCGCCGAAGACCCCAACAUGAACGCUGUUCUGAAAGUAUGCAGUCUGAGUUGAUUAUCGUAAUCAGUUAAAACUUUCAACAACGGAUCUCUUGGUUCCGGCAUCGAUGAAGAACGCAGCGAAAUGCGAUAAGUAAUGUGAAUUGCAGAAUUCAGUGAAUCAUCGAGUCUUUGAACGCACAUUGCGCCCCCUGGUAUUCCGGGGGGCAUGCCUGUCCGAGCGUCAUUGCUGCCCUCAAGCACGGCUUGUGUGUUGGGCCCCCGUCCCCCUCUCCCGGGGGACGGGCCCGAAAGGCAGCGGCGGCACCGCGUCCGGUCCUCGAGCGUAUGGGGCUUUGUCACCUGCUCUGUAGGCCCGGCCGGCGCCAGCCGACACCCAACUUUAUUUUUCUAAGGUUGACCUCGGAUCAGGUAGGGAUACCCGCUGAACUUAAGCAUAUCAAUAA
rnacentral:rRNA from 1 species